UUUUUAGUAUUCUUUCUUUCGUGAAAUUCCCAUGAAAUCCAACUGCGAACCCAGCCGUGAAAGCCAGCGAAGCCCACCAAACAAAAUCGAUUUUGCUUUUCUUGUUUUCAUAUUCAAAUUUGUACCACGAAGAAGUCGUUAGGGAUCCCUUUGGAUCGUUAGGGAUAACUUCAUUGAUAAAAAAAAUCACUGCAGAGACAAUGAAGUGGCCAUCCAUUUCAUAGGAUUCAGGUGGUGGUGGUGACGAGGACAACGAAAGAUAGGUGGUGGUGGGACGAACAAUGAAGCUAUUGGAGUGAUGGUGGUUGGGCGGAGAAGAAAGUGCGAAUUGGGACAAGUCAUUUCACCAAGGAUGAGGAAAGGUUGUGGUGGUUGACAGAAAGGGAUGACACCAUCGUCAACUAGUACGAAAGAAAUCUAGAAUUGCAAUUGGAGAAAUGCUUAAUCCUCCUCCUAAAUCAUCUGAAUAAUCCUCCUCCUUUAAGAGUUGACAUCCGUCAACUUGGUUAUUCGUAAAAUAUUAAUUAAUUUUACCUUUUGUAAAAGGUUUUUAUUUUCCAAAUUUACCAUUACACUCCCGUAAGCCAAAGAAAAAAAAACCCCGCAGUCACGACCACAUACCCCUUCAAAUGCACAUCGAGGAAGGUUUCGCGGCAACUGAGGAGGAGGUAAACGAUGGGGCAGAGUAGAGACAAAGAAAGAGAGCAAGGAAGAGGGAGCGGGAGUGAUGGUGUGGUGUCGGGGGGAGCAGGAGAGGAGUAUAUACCAGAGAAAGUGUGGGGUAGUUGCAUCAAGCAAAUUCAGGCAUUCUCUUGGGAAGAAAAGUAGGAAGCAAAAUAGUGAAUGAUAAAUGGAAGUAACAGUGAAUGAAAGGAUGGCUUAACCUGUGUUUCUCCUCUGUGGCUGCUGCAACUUGUUGAAUUUUAUUUCCUUUGUAUCAAUGAUGAUAGAUUAAAAAAUAUAUGAAGUGAUUUUAUUAUAAGUGGUUGCUUCUUUAGCA